UGUUCCCAGAGCCAACUUUGAUUGGAUGGGAUGUUAAUAUCAGCACGUUUGUGGUUACUAACGCCUGCUCAGGGCCCCACGUUCGUCCUGGCCUCCUCCUGGGGGUCACACCUGCCCCUGAGAACUCAAGCUGAAGUGUACGUGGAGCCCAGCCCUCCUUGGGGUGCUUCAUGCCUGGGCCGCCCGGCGGCACCCUCCCGUCCAAAGGGAUGUUGUCUCAAGUCUUCACGGGUCAGUGAACUUUCUCAGUUCAGCUCCCUCUCUUGGCAGAGCCACCAGCUCUUGGGCAGGGCCCGGGCUCUGCCUCCUGGUCCAGUUACCAAAAGGUAAGCAAAAGUGAGCUGUGGCUUCAUUCAUGCACUCAACAAAUAUCCACGGAGGGUCUACCCGGUGCCAAGAGCCUCAGAUGGGGAGGUUGCGGCCAAGAGGGUUUGCAGAAUGCGGGCACAGCACUGAAAACGCCCCCCAGAGCCAGGAUGUGGGUCAGGGGGCUGAGAGAAUGUCCCAGAGACUGACCCUCCCCCUUUAGCUGCUGGAUUACGGAGAGCUGGGCAAGCCUGAGGAGAGGUGGGGCAGCCUGGGCAGCAGGGGCGGGGGCGUCAAAGGAUAGUGAGUGUUCAUCAGUCUGGAAGUAUUUCAACAUCUUGCCGAUUGUCCUCGUCCUAUUGAUAUUUGGCAGUUGGGGAAAAAUAAAUAAAGAAACCCAGCAAUGUCUCCCAUGUGGAGUUUGCCUCCUUCCAAGCACCAAGAAGCAGUCAGCUUGUCUUUUCUGUGCUUACAGGAGGGAUAUUGUUAUAAAAUCUUGCCCCAAGUGAAACCAGUAAGCAAAGGGUUAAGGGGGCUAAUUCCCAGCAGCAGACUAGUAAGAGCAGCUGCAACUUUUUACCCAGCCUCUUUUGUUUGCGGUUAGAUUUCCCUGACUCUCCUUGGGUGAGGUGGGUGGCAGGCCCGCUCUCCUGUCUCCCUGUGGGCUGCCCAUGGAGUAAACCCCUUUCCUGGCCGCACGCUGGACGUCUCAGUGAUUGGCUUUGUGGGCGCUGGGCAGAUGGACUUGGGUUUGGUUGCAAAACUAGCCACAGCUCCAUUUUCUGUGCUAGGCCUGUGUGGACUCAGGGACAAAUCAGGAGACAAGUUUCAGGCCACCAAGGCACAGGGGUUGUUCAGCAGAAGCCUUUGGUCUUCAUUUACUGCAAGACAGAGCGACAUUCUGGCAUGUCUGGAUGGUUGGGAUCGGAGAUGUGUCUGGACAGCCAUCCCCAGCACCCAGUCACCCCCACCCUCAAGGAGCAGAUGACCCUGACCACGAUGGGACUCCGAAGGGCCAUGUGGAAGAAAGCUGACCGUCAGCCAGAAACACCUGCCUGGGAAACACCUUCCCCUCUCCCCCCUUCUUCCCCCCAGAACGUGAGCAAGAAACAAACUAUUCUGUCAGACUCCCGGAAUCUGAAGGCGCAUUUAUCACAGCCUCUGUGUGACCCAGAUUCGUACAAGACCUAUUUUAAACACCGAUUCAGUGUUUUCCUGAGUCACACCUGUACACGCACAGCCAACCUUCUAACCAGGUGGAGUAUUUCCUUUGUGUGA
ensembl:lincRNA